CUUCUUUGAUGUUGUUGACGAAGAGGAAGAUGACGGCAAUGAGGAUGAGGAAACAUCAUUUGUGGGGCUUGAAUAGAUCUCAGAAUUCAACCACAUAUGAGCCAAAACUUGACAAUUGCCUUCUUCAACCUCUGGACUAAGAUAUCACAGGCCAUUAAAGAAGAACCUUCUAGUUGAAGCCAAGCAUGCAUCAUCUCAUGAGCAAGGAUUGAACAUGUCAACAACCUGUUUUCUGGAUAAUAAUCAGCCAUGGUUGAUGAUCACACAAAAGAAUAACUGAGAUUUGCUGCAGUCACAUUACCUAGAGAGACCAUACAAAAUGAGGAUUGCAUGAACCGGCUUAUAAGGUUCAGUUACCAUAUCAGUAAUUUGGUGGUUUACUCCAAUUCUUGGCCUUCGGGUAACCUGGUGGAUUAUUCAAAAGAGUCUCGACACCCUAGACAUAGCUUUCGACCAUCAUCUGGUGACUGGUAUCUCAUGUCUCUUGGCUACAGAGAUUUAACGUUUUUCAUCAGCAACAAUGCUGGGAAAUUGAAAAGUGCUCUUUACUCUCGAAAAUCUGUCCUACAGUUCGACCAGCAAGCAAAGCAGGAUGUUUAUAAAUUGGAACUCACUUCCAUCAUCUCACAACUACAACAGAUUGGAGUCCCAUCUUGCUUAAGUGAAAAAAUCAUGUUAGGAUACUCAUAUUCACUCCAGAAUAA